rnacentral:ncRNA from 1 species
CUUAUCAAGAGUGGUGGAGGAAACAGGUCCUGUGAAACCCGGCAACCUAGCGUAAGCUAAGGUGCUAAAUCCUGCGGUUAUUUCCGAAAGAUGAGG